rnacentral:rRNA from 1 species
AGUGAACGCUGGCGGUAGGCCUAACACAUGCAAGUCGAACGGCAGCACAGUAAGAGCUUGCUCUUACGGGUGGCGAGUGGCGGACGGGUGAGGAAUACAUCGGAAUCUACUUUUUCGUGGGGGAUAACGUAGGGAAACUUACGCUAAUACCGCAUACGACCUACGGGUGAAAGCAGGGGAUCUUCGGACCUUGCGCGAUUGAAUGAGCCGAUGCCGGAUUAGCUAGUUGGCGGGGUAAAGGCCCACCAAGGCGACGAUCCGUAGCUGGUCUGAGAGGAUGAUCAGCCACACUGGAACUGAGACACGGUCCAGACUCCUACGGGAGGCAGCAGUGGGGAAUAUUGGACAAUGGGCGCAAGCCUGAUCCAGCCAUACCGCGUGGGUGAAGAAGGCCUUCGGGUUGUAAAGCCCUUUUGUUCGGAAAGAAAAGCAGCAGGUUAAUACCCCGCUGUUCUGACGGUACCCAAAGAAUAAGCACCGGCUAACUUCGUG